rnacentral:tRNA from 1 species
GCGUGUUUAGCUCAGCUGGAUAGAGCAACGCCCUUCUAAGGCGUGGGCCAGGAGUUC